rnacentral:tRNA from 1 species
GGUUUCGUAGCACAAUAGGAUAGUGCGCUGCCCUGUCAAGGCAGAGCGUGCGGGUUCAAGUCCCGUCGAGACCG